UGUUACAAUACUUCUGUUCAAGCAGCCUUUAUUUUACUUAACAAUGGCCCCAAAAUACAAGAGUAGUCUUGCUGGCAAUUCAGACAUGCUGAAGAGAAGUUAUAAAGUGCUUCUUUUAAAUGAAUAGGUGAAUAUUCUUGACUUAAUCAUGCAAGAAAAAAGCAUGCUGAGGCUGCUAAGAUCUAUGGUAAGAAUAAAUCUUCCAUCCAUGGAAUUGUGAAGAAGGAAAAAUCAAUUUGUGCAGGUUUUGCUGUUGCACCUCAAACUUCAAACACAUCUCAUCACCUAAGUGUUGUAUCGUCUCACAUCAUCGCAAGAAGGCAAACAUCCAUUGAGCAUUGCUAACACUGAGAGCCAUACCUAUGUGACCUCAAGGAGUUUAAAGCUGAAGAGGAAGGAAUGACAACAAAUGUUGAUGCUUUCGGCAAGGACUCCAGAAGGACCUCUUCUUUUGCAAGAAAACCUCACCUGUUGGGACGAGCAGAAAAUAUGGCAGAACACCUGAAACCAGGACUGCGGCAUCAAUAAUAUUAGGGGCCUUUGAAAAAUGAGUCAAUCAAUCACUUUUCUCCAUGUGGAACCACGAAUUGGUUAGCGAGAUGAAAGUAACCCCUGCAACGGCCCAGAUCAAAGGUCUGAAUAAAUACCUGCACCAUUCCAAGCCUCUGCAUUCAGGUAUGUGAAUUUAAAAUGGCUAAUAGCCCAACUCCCAGGACUCUGCAGAACAAGCCAAGCUUUCCCCUACAAUAAAGACACUUGGCUCAUUUUAAUUUACAUGGAUCAUUUCUCUUCAACUCUACAAGAUUGAGAUACAAAAUUUCUGGAGAUUUGUUUUGUCUGUUAUAAUGAACUUGGAAUUAAAAUAUAUGAGGUCAGGCAUUCUUUCACAAUGCCAGACACCCAAUGAUUUGAGUUUUAAAUUUAUUUAAAGCUGGAGGUGAGAGAUCUAGAGGUCAUGGUGGUAAUAAGCCAAACAGAAUGCAAUACUGCAACACUCUAUGCUCAGUUCAACCUUUGUAGACACUGGGAACAUGAGAGUGGAAAUGGAGAAAGUCCCUAAGUCAGCUCAACAAGUCCAAAUAUAAUGGGUUGCGAUUCAGCCAGUGACCAAACAAUUUAUAGUAUCUGAAUAUAAAAUGUAUGUAUGUUGCUGGAAAACUAUUCAAUCCAGAAAUUUGUGACUAUUUACUAGACUAUCACUUGUUAUUAUUAUA